rnacentral:rRNA from 1 species
UUGGACGGGGAGCACCACAACGGGUGGAGCUUGCGGUUUAAUUGGAUUCAACGCCGGAAAUCUUACCGGGACCGACAGCAAUAUGAAGGCCAGGCUGAAGACUUUGCCGGAUUAGCUGAGAGGUGGUGCAUGGCCGUCGUCAGUUCGUACUGUGAAGCAUCCUGUUAAGUCAGGCAACGAGCGAGACCCACGCCAACAGUUGCCAGCUCGUCCUCCGGGAUGGUGGGGACACUGUUGGGACCGCCUCUGCUAAAGAGGAGGAAGGAAUGGGCAACGGUAGGUCAGCAUGCCCCGAAUUAUCUGGGCUACACGCGGGCUACAAUGGGUGGGACAAUGGGUAUCGACACCGAAAGGUGAAGGCAAUCUCCUAAACCCAUCCGUAGUUCGGAUUGUGGGCUGCAACUCGCCCACAUGAAGCUGGAAUCUGUAGUAAUCGUGUCUCAAAAUGGCACGGUGAAUAUGUCCCUGCUCCUU